CACGAACGCUGGCGGCAGGCUUAACACAUGCAAGUCGAGCGCCCCGCAAGGGGAGCGGCAGACGGGUGAGUAACGCGUGGGAAUCUACCCAUCUCUACGGAAUAACGCAUGGAAACGUGUGCUAAUACCGUAUACGUCCUUCGGGAGAAAGAUUUAUCGGAGAUGGAUGAGCCCGCGUUGGAUCAGCUAGUUGGGGGGGUAAAGGCCUACCAAGGCGACGAUCCAUAGCUGGUCUGAGAGGAUGAUCAGCCACACUGGGACUGAGACACGGCCCAGACUCCUACGGGAGGCAGCAGUGGGGAAUAUUGGACAAUGGGCGCAAGCCUGAUCCAGCCAUGCCGCGUGAGUGAUGAAGGCCCUAGGGUUGUAAAGCUCUUUCACCGGUGAAGAUAAUGACGGUAACCGGAGAAGAAGCCCCGGCUAACUUCGUGCCAGCCGCCGCGGUAAGAC
rnacentral:rRNA from 1 species